CCUCCUGCCCGUGCCCUUGCUUGCAUGCUUCACUUUUCUGGGUGCUUGCCUCUUUCUCACUGGCCUCCAGCCUGCCAACACCACGCCAAGAUCCAGAGACACCAUGCUCAAAAGUACCAAACCUCUGUUGGCUUAGAACUGCAUGCAGGAUGACGUCAAGCUUGGGUGGACGUACGUGGUCCUCCUCGGUAGCCGGCGCUGCCUGGGUGGCCAGGCUUGGUUCUGCCAUGCUAUUUCAAGCCUCCAUGCUCGCUCACGCCUUUCCCUCAGCUUGAACACUCAGGGCACCUACGCCCCCACCCUCUACUCUUACUCAUUCUUCAAGCGCUCUCUCUCUCUCUCUCUCUCUCUCUCUCUCUUUCUCUCUCUCUCUCUCCCUCUCUGGAAAUACUCACUCAGCGCUCAUACCUACUCUGUGGGCCAAGGAUGCUUCCUCUCUGUGCUCCCACAGCGUCCUGCAUGAUUCCGCCUUCUUAUUGUUUUGACCUGAUCACACCGCCCUUGUUAAAAGCACUUUAAGGCAUGUAGUGAUGAAUGGUGAUGAAUGGCUCUAUUAGUACCCGCGACCUUACACAGUGCCCUGCACCCAGAACCUCCCACCUGCAGACAGCUUGCAAGCUGUAGGUAAAGGGACCAGGAAGGAAAAGGAAGAGGCUGAAUUUUAGCCAACAGAACCUCUGCUUGCUUUUCUUGGUUGAGUUGUCCCGUGUACCCCUCCCCCACCUUCUCACAGAAAAUACCGCAGGUUUAGGGAUUAAUUUCUGAGAACUCCCCCGGCCCUUUCUCACCUUGUAAAGUUCGGAGGGGUUUCAUUUCCUCACUUAACAAGCUGGGAAACUUUGGCAGUGGAAGAGGGAAAGGAAACUUUCGGGGAUGCCCUAGGGCUGUUCAAUUGUUCAAAUUACUGUCUGUCCCUCCUUGCAGCUUUGGGUUCUGUACAAUUGAGUGGAGACCUCUGACUACCUUAAAACAGCCCCCAUUUCAGUUUGAGUAAGGAUGAAGUUAUUUCCUUACAACUAAAUAUAGAGCGUGAGUCUGUGCUGAUGCAUAACUUAGGCAAAUGCAUGCAAAUCCCUCGUGGGCUGGGGGGAUCCCUGUCUUCUGAGUCACCCAGCCAGAGUUCUCUCCUUGGGGACCUCCAGUCACAGAUCUGAUACUGACCCAGCUGGAUUUCGGAGGCACCCCUGAUCUGGCUUCGAGACCCUGGCUGUAUCUGCUCUCCGUUAAACCAUCCACCAAGUCAAACCAAACAUGGCAGAAGACAUCCUGGCCUUUGGAACCACCCUUUACCCUCCAUCUCUCCCCCUUUUCCUCCUGUCUCUCUGUCUUCUCCCCCUCCUCUCUGCCUGCUCCUUCCUGAUGGAAAUUUGGCCUCUACCUGCCCUUGUGACUGGAAAAAGCAGCGUCAGUUCAUCAAAGCAGAACAAGGCUGCUACUUAGUGUCCUUGAUCUAUGGGUUACCAGGAAGGCCCAGGGUUACCCAGCCCUCUCUGGUCCCAGCCAGAAGUGGGGGUGGGGGCUCUUCAGCAGGUGUGAGGCCUGCCUGUGGCAGAGAACGUCAUCAAAUGGUGGGGAAAGACUGGGCAAGCAGGAAAGGAGGGGUGGCUUUGGAAGGGAUUGUGUGGAGGUGACAUGGCCACCGUGCCAGGUGAGCCAAGCUGGAUAGGACGAGCAAAGAGAAGUGACUUUUUUCCUCAGGUCAGCUGCCUCCUGGUGGAUGCUGGCACUAAGCCUACUGUCUCCCUUGCUAUCACUUGGGGGUUCUUUGGGCAGAUGGACGGAAGAGGCAGGGACAUGUACAGCUAGGAAGAGGUCUUCUGGGGCCAGAGUCCAUUGUUCAGUAGACCGUCCAAGCCGACCGUCUCUUUCCAAGGGUUGAGCAGGACGUUACCUUGUAUCAGCCUGACCAUGGUCCCCAGCACAGCAGCAUGGCAAAAGCCCAGUGCAGUUUGAGGACCUCUUCUAAGCAGCUCACUGGAAGCCUGCCCCCACCUCCAAAUGGCCUGAAAGAAGGCAAGGCUGUGCCUGGGAAUGCACAUUCAUCAGGAAAGACAGAAGGCUCUUAAGAAGGAAGUCCACUCGGGGCCUUCUAACGAGGCCCAGUCCCUUGGUGUCCAUGCCCAGGAUGGUCCAUGGAUAGAGCAGAGACUGGGGAAGAGACCCAGAUGGGCUUUCCCACGGUGCUGCUGUUCCAGCUGUAGAAAUCAUGGUAUGGGCAUGUGCACUAGCACAGCAUACUGGCCCUCAAAACCCACAAUACUCUGUGAAGUUGAAGGAUCCAGGCUCAGGUUGCAUCAAAUUCAUGGCACUUGGAAGCAAGACACACACGCAUCAGUCUCCAGACCUGCAGGAGGAUAAGUCACCUGAGUGUCAGCCAGGUGAUGGGCCCAUCAAGGGACUCAAUGUCCCCAGAGAGCAGUGGCCCUGCAUCCCAAACCAUGGGGAACAGAAGAACUCUCAAAGUGUUGUUCCCAUCGCCAGAGCAUUCUUCAGUAGGAGAAUUUCAGAGCUGGGAGAAUUUGUUUGCCUUUUCACAAGUUCUAAUGUUCCUUUUUGUCAGGCCAAUUUGCAAUACAAAAGGAUGGCCUACCGUUCAAUUAUGGAGAGAGAAAACACAAAACAAACCAAGGCUUCCCAACAUCAAAGUGAAUAUUAUCUUUGGCAAAAUGUGAAAAGAUGUAGGGAGUGGGGGGGGAAAGGCUUCCAGAAGUUUCUGUUAAUAAAGGCUUGUCAGGCCAUCCCGAGGCCCCAUUCCCCAUGGUUCUUCUGCAGGCAUCCAGCUUCUUUCCAUUUUCCUUGUGUUUUCUCUGCCCUCUUACUGCAUCUCUUUGUCCGUUGGCUUGUUUGUGCUGCGCUUGUCAAGUCUGCAUGUUGCAUUUUGCAGCAAGGUGAAGACACAGAACAAGGACUCAAUGUCCUGCCAUGAUUUGUGGGCCUCUUCCUCCUAACUGCCUUGUCUCUGGGAAUUUACCCCUAACCAGCACAGCACAGUGCAGACACAUUGUCCUUGUUCUUUGGAAGAAUAAUCAUUUAGUGACUUGCUGACUGACAAAUAAAACAGUGCCACCCCCCCCACCCCACACAGUGCUGGGGAUCAAACAGGGCCUGUGGCUUUGGCAUCUUCUCUGUUUCUGAGCUCCAUCCCCAACAGUUCAGUAUCACUUCUUCCUCCAUGAACACUACUCCACAUAUACUAUCUCAUUAAAGACUCUUUACAACCAUACCAGAAGAUAGUAUGAUGCUUUUCCCAUUUGGCAGACAAGAAACUGAGUCCUAGUGACAGUAGGCCACUUGGUUGGCGUCCCACAGCUACUAAGUGGCUCAGACAAGGUAAAGACCAAAAAUCUUCCUGACUCCAGGAAGCCAGGCUGUGCGCAUAGUGAAUUGAGAUCCAGAGAACCAGGACAAAUCACAGAAACUGAAAUGGUCCCCCAAUGGAAAUGUGCUAAUAGCUGGGUGCUCUGAGACAGAUGUCCUGAGAUACCAUCUCCCCACAGCAAUCUUCACUCUGCUCCAGUGGGGACACUGAGGUAAUUGCUGUUGUCCCCUUCCUGCUCUUUACUCGUGACAUUAGCAUAACUGGAGAUUCAAAAGCUGCACACAUUGUGGAGCACUCAUGGUGAGCCCCUUGGGCAGGGAGCCCCUUGGGCAGGGCAGUGGCACUCUACACAGAGGCUUCAUAGAUGGCCCUUGUGCUAGUAAGUCCACCCAAGGGCAGUAGGCAACCUCAGACUUACAGAUUCUACAACUUUCAUGGCAAAUUUGGGGAGCCAUUUGUUUUUUCCUGUCCUGUCCAGGAUGACUUAACCCUAUUUGCUUCCUUUCAUACUCUUGAAAGGAAGUUAUUGGAAUGCAAAAACAGAUGAAUCUUCUUGCAUUUAAGACCAAGCAUAUUCUCCCCCUCUCUGCUUCCUUCCCUCCCUCUCAAGCUUUUGAGACAGGGACACUCGGAAGUUCUGUAACUUUGGGGCUGAGGCAGCUCUGUGAAUUUGUGUGGGGGUGGAUGGUGCAUGUGUCAUGGUCAGAGGACAAUCAGGGAUCAAACUCGGGUCAUUAGGCUUGCCCAGCAAGUGCCUUUAUUUGCUAGGACAACUCACAGAUCUUUUUAAAAAAUUUAAAAGUAAUUUAUUAUUUUUAUUAUUUUCUUGUGGGGUUUCUAUGGAAGAGAGCGGAUCUGUCAGGAAGUGGGCCUGGGAGGGAGAAGUUGCCACUUCCCCUCUUUCCAGAGCUCCAUUGUCUCCUGUUCUUGGUUUUAUGAGACACCUCCAGAAUCUGUCGGUGAAGCCUCUUUUCUGCUAAAUUGACCUCAGAUGAAUUUUAUUCCCCAAAUCAAAUGACUGUUCGCUGCAGUGCUUUCCAAACAUCUCCACUAUAUGGCAUCAUCUUGCACAAGCACACGGCACAUGCACGCGUGUUAUUCAUGCCACCAUGUUUGGGGAGUUUUACUCUACGACAGAAUAGCACAAGAAAGAUAUUUGGAGCCUGCAAACUGCCAGACAGCUGGAAGGGCUGUGAGUAGAGGUAGCAUGUGAGCUCAUGCUGAGGGGGAACUUGUAUGUGGAGAGUCCUUCCUUCAGGGGCAGGUAGCCAAUCACAGGCAGUCCUGAGUCCUCAUCUGCCUCACGGUCUAUCUCCCUGAGGUCAGAGCUUUGAGGGUAGGGGAUGCAUCACUGCAGAGCAGCAGGGGAAUUGCCAUGAUGCUUCUUCUUUGCAGCCUUGCACUGAAUGCAGCAAGAAAGAAAGUGGCAGGCUCUGGACUAGGCUGCCGGCUGGAAGCAGCAGAUGACAGGGUGAAUGCCUGGUCAGUCCCUUUGUAAAACACCUUUCCCUUUGCUACUACAUAGUAUGGCUACACAGGCCAUACUGAGAAAUUAUUUAUUCAUUUCACUAAAUUGCAACAGUUAAAUUCUCUGCCAGGCCCUUUCUGUGGCUCAAAGUAAUGCCUAGGUUAGGAAAAGAAGAAAUCUGUUAGCUGGGAAUGUGUGUAAGUGAGAAGCGAGAGAUGGGGGGCCUCUCCAGAGAGCUCCCCACUGCAAGGCCCCAAAUAAGUAUGAGAUGCUUUCCAGCAUAGAUAUCUUCUUGGACUGGGACAAGUGUGUGGAGAGGGCAGGGUGUUGAGCUUGGAUGCAAACGUGAGAAAGGAAGUCUGGCUCCUGCAGUAGAAUAAGAAACAAAGGUAAAGUUGGGUGCAGCCCAGUCGCUGCUAAGCAACAGAAAUCUGGUGAAAGCGAUUGUUCUAGAUUAAUUAGGUCCUGUUUCUAAACAACUAGCUAGUUAUUUUUUUUUACAACCAGUGGACUUCUGUAAGCAGAACUGCUAGAUAGUCCACCAUUUCAAAUGAAUCUGGUGCGGCCCCGCACCUUCCCAAUGGUGGCCAGGCACCUGGCAGAAGUGAAUGACUCCUCUCCAGAAGCAGAGCAUUAAUGCAUCUAUGUGCAACAUAAAAUACAACACACAGAUGUGAAAGUUAGAGGAGAAAAUGUACAAGAGUAGUCAAGAAAAAGAAAAAAAAAAAAAAAAAAAAAAAAACGGCAGAAGCCC